rnacentral:rRNA from 1 species
GACAGAGGGGGCAAGCGUUGCUCGGAAUUACUGGGCGUAAAGGGCGCGUAGGCGGGAUGGCAAGUCGGUCGUGAAAUCCCUCGGCUCAACCGAGGAACGUCGAUCGAUACUGCUGUUCUUGAGGAUUGCAGAGGAGACUGGAAUUCCCGGUGUAGCGGUGAAAUGUGUAGAGAUCGGGAGGAACACCGGUGGCGAAGGCGGGUCUCUGGGCCACUACUGACGCUGAGAAGCGAAAGCAUGGGGAGCGAACAGG